UUCAAAUUCCAAAUCGUGUAAUCAACCCAAAACCCAACCCUACUAGAACUCCAUAUAACUCGCAUUGCUACUCAGGAACCCUAACAAAUUAAACCUCAUCAACUUGCUUGGAUCAGAAACUCUCAUAUCGCCCGUGGCCCUCGAUCGAUCUCAUUGUUUACGAUCAUGGUGUGCAUCUCUUUCUACUGAUUACGAGCCUCUUUGUUUUCAAACGGUUCGACACAUCUAGUCGGAAAAAAACUAAAGUGUGCCCGGGAAAGAGAGGGCCAUCUACAGGCUCAAAGCUGCCAUUAGAUUGUUGUAAAUCUUGAUCCUGAGCAUGGGAGGCAUAUUCACAAAGGUGAAUUAAGAAAGGAGGUGGAGUUUCGCAAUUUCAAAAACACAUAAACCGCUCUAGACUUUCCACUGGUGAGACGAUUCCAAAUUCUCUUCGGCUCGACACCUACUCCUGCGCACACCUUCGAUGACGACUGUUUUUCCUACACCAUGCAGCGACGUCGCCUCCAGCAAGAGUGCUUCAGCAACGAAGUCCCAAAUUCUAGAGUUUUGCAAACUUCCCGGCCUCAAAUCGUCUACCUCGAGCUGAAUUUACGAUUAGAAAUGGCAAGAGGAAAAAGAAAAGAAAUGGAACUAAGCAAUGAUUAAGAAGAUUACAAAGAGGUCGAAUCAGAAGAAGAAGAUGAUCAAGCGAUGAAGAAGAAGAAGGGUUCGAAGAAGGAUAAAAAGCAACAAAAAAAAAACAGGAAGUAAAAGAUGUAGAAGAUUCUGAGACAGAAGAAGAAUUAGUAUUACCAAAGAAAAAAGGGAUACAAAGAAGUGCAGCAACGGGAGACAAAUAAAAAAGGGAAAAACUGUACUAGAAGAUUCUGAAGAGGACGACAAAGAAGAAGAACAAGCACAAAAAAAUGUAGAAGAUUCUGAGAAAGAAGAAGAAUUAGUAUCACAAAUAAAAAAAAGGAUAUAAAGAAGAGUAGCAAGGGGAGACAAACAAAAAAGGGAAAAAUUGUACCAGAUUCUGAAGAAGAAGAAGAUGUAGAAGCCGAAGUUGUGCCGAAGAAGAGGAAGAGAUAUUUGAAAGUAGGGCACGUGCAAUAUAGGUGCACAAUAAUCAGUUUUUUGAAGACGAUUUCAGAUAACUGAAUGAAAGAACAUUAGCUUUACUAAGGGAGACACCGUUUGGAAAGAUUGUGGAUGCAUUCCGUGGUGGGUAUAUAGAGAAGAAGUCGGCAAAGAAAUCUGAUGAUUUCAUUAUCCUACUCUUGUAGGCUUACAAUCAUGAAAAAUACCUCUUUUUAGUUGGAAAGAAGAAAUUUAGAAUCUCCACAAGCGACAUUUCAAUGAUCCUAGGACUACUAGCACAAUGAGAGUUGGUUCCAAAGACUUCUGAGGGUGCAUAUGAGUCCGAUUUUGUGUAGGAGUAUUUCCAGAGACGAAGAGGGUUAACAAGAGUACUGUUGUGAGAAUUUGAAAGACACAUUGAAAAAGAAGCUAAAAAUAGAGGCAGGGAUCGAGAAAGAUAAAAAUGUGGCAAGGUUAAUAUUGCUGCAUUUGUUAAUCAAGUUUUUGUCCCCAAACGCAAUGGGGACAAUUUCAUGGAAUUAUGUUAAGGCUUGUGAAAAGUUGGAUGAUAUUGGAUCUUAUGGCUGGGUUAAGGAAGUCGGGAACUUCCUAAAAAAGUCUAUGCAUAUGCUGAAGAAGAAGGAGUCAGGCAACUCAUAUACUAUGGGUGGCUGCAUCGUAUUAAUACUGGUCACUGUCAGACUGAAUGUCACUAGCCAAGUUAGACUGCAUGUCACUGGGCAAUUCACUUGUUAAACUGCAUGUCACUGGCUAAGUCAUUAAUCAAUUUGCUUUUCCGAAACUAGCUUUUUUUUUUUUCCUUUUCUUUUGUCCAAGCAGUAUUGGUUCUGUGAAAAGACUAGAACAAUGAAGCCAACAACUGGAAGGGAGAAUGCAGAGCAUGAAAUGAGAAAAUGGGACAUCAAAAGCCUGAUCUUGGAAAAACUGAAUAAACUCUUCGCAAAGCUGAAAGAAGAUGCAGAGGAGACAAAAUCUAACGAGUUUGGUUCUGAUGAUGGGACGAAUGGUUCGGAACCAGAGGUUCAAGCUGCUGAUGAUCAGAGUUCUGAAGAGGAAAAGGAUAACCAAGAAGGUGAAAUGGGUGAACAUGAAGGAACUGAGAUGACAAUAACAAGAUGCAACGAAGAAGAAAAAGCCAAGUGGGAGGAACAAAAAAGAAAGAAAAAGGAAUAGGAGGUAAGAAGUCUGACUGUGAAAAAAAAAAAAAAAUUGGAAGGAGAGAUUGAAGUUGGAGAAAAAUAUACUGCAAAAGAAAUAUCAGCUGAGGGAAUUGAAAGAGGACAAGAAGCUUCUGAAGGAAGAACAUGUUGCCCUCGUAACAGUGAAAAUUUGCCUCACAUCAUCAGUGCAGGAGUUAGACAAAAAAGUGAAGAAGUUAGAGGGAAUGAUGAUUGCAAUGACUCACUACCUCGAGACCCUAUUGGCGACGAGGGCAUUGUUUAGCUUUGGUGAGGGAGGUUUGUUAGCUUCUUAAUGCCUAAG